rnacentral:rRNA from 1 species
GUUUCCGUAGGUGAACCUGCGGAAGGAUCAUUAUUGAAAUAAACCUGAUGAGUUGUUGCUGGUUCUCUUGGGAGCAUGUGCACACUUGUCAUCUUUAUAUCUCCACCUGUGCACCUUUUGUAGACUUGGAUAUCUCUCUGAGUGGCUUAGCCACUCAGGUUUUGAGGAUUGACUUUGAUGGUCUCUCCUUACAUUUCCAGGUCUAUGUUUAUUCCAUAUACCCCAAUGUAUGUCAUAGAAUGUAAUCCUAUUGGGCUUUUGUGCCUAUAUAAACUUAUACAACUUUCAGCAACGGAUCUCUUGGCUCUCGCAUCGAUGAAGAACGCAGCGAAAUGCGAUAAGUAAUGUGAAUUGCAGAAUUCAGUGAAUCAUCGAAUCUUUGAACGCACCUUGCGCUCCUUGGUAUUCCGAGGAGCAUGCCUGUUUGAGUGUCAUUAAUAUAUCAACCUCUUCAACUUUUGUUUGUUGAGUGUUGGAUUUGGGGGUUUUUAUUUUGCUGGUCUUUUAACAAGGUCAUCUCCCCUGAAAUAUAUUAGCGGAACAUUUUGUGGAUCGUUCAUUGGUGUGAUAACUAUCUACGCUAUUGACGUGAAGCAGUUCAGCUUCUAACAGUCCAUUUACUUGGACAAAUUUCUAUUAAAGUGACCUCAAAU